rnacentral:rRNA from 1 species
AUUGAACGCUGGCGGCAUGCCUUACACAUGCAAGUCGAGCGGCAGCGCGGGGGCAACCCUCGGCGGCGAGCGGCGCACGGGUGAGUAAUACAUCGGAACGUGUCCUUUUGUGGGGGAGUAACCAGUCGAAAGACUGGCUAAUACCGCAUGAGAUCUCACGAUGAAAGCGGGGGACCGCAAGGCCUCGCGCGAUUGGAGCGGCCGAUGUCGGAUUAGCUAGNGGCGGGGUAAAGCCCACCAAGGCGACGAUCCGUAGCUGGUUUGAGAGAACGACCAGCCACACUGGGACUGAGACACGGCCCAGACUCCUACGGGAGGCAGCAGUGGGGAAUUUUGGACAAUGGGGGCAACCCUGAUCCAGCCAUGCCGCGUGUGUGAAGAAGGCCUCGGUGUAAG